UCCAGGACGUCUGUGUAUACUGACUCGCGCAGCUCCCGCCGCCCCUCAGAGUCUGGAGCAUGAAGCUGGGCCUCUGCCUUUGCCAGGCCUGGAGAUGCCACGUGUGCACUUCCUCUUGCAGGACCCAGCUCCAGCCCACUCAGCUCCAUUUCACAGAGGGGGGACAAUGAGAUUGGCUGUGACAUGCUGAAGCUGCUGUUAUCUGAUAGAAAAUACGGAACUGAUGAUGCCGCCAGUGCUGUCUGCUGUUCUAAACGCAAAUAACUGCACCGAUGGGUAAGAGAAACUGGGGCAGAGGUCAACAGCUUCUCUGGUCUCAAGUGGCUCCAAGGGAGUCAAGCAGUGUGCAGUGCCCAAAGAUGCCCUGGGCAAGGUAAAAGAACAAAGGGAAAAUAUAAAGGCAUUCUUUUUAUGUAAAAUCAUUUAAUGUUUGUCUUUGUUAAAAUACACUCAAUCCGGAUGCAGUGGAUUAGGUGACCAGAUUUUUUGAGGAUUCAUACCCCACCAGGAGUUGAUUCCAUCUGUGUCGU